GCAUAUCUGAAGAAGCCUCUGUCUGAAAACACUCUGUUGUUGUACAACAGUCUCAUGAAGAGGAUGCUCAGGGUUCUCUAUAAUGCUCUUCAUUUUAUGAAGAAUCCUUCUUAGAAAGACCUUACAAGGGAAGAUGGGGAAAUGUGAUCGGUUAUAGAUUGAACACCCCCUCUGGUAGCUAUUUUUUAAAGGACCAUCACCCAGUUUAGAAGUCUGCUGUUGCACAAAUUUGUCGACUGAGAAAGUUUCACACCCUUCAGGAACUCAGGUUAAUUUCCUUGAGUUUCCUCAAAUCCUUGAAUCUACAAAGUCUAGGUGCUGCAGAGUGGACUCAUUGACCUCAGUCCCUGAAUGCUGCCUCAUAACUGAAGGUGUUCAAGACAAGCUACAAGAACAUCAUCCAUCACCUGACAAUAUUCUAAGAAGGGGCCAGAGCACAAAAUCUCCACCCAACAGGUCCCUGGCUAAUUGUUAUGGUAAAAUGGUGAAUGGCCUGCACUUGUAUAGCAGUUUAUCAAGUCCUAGGCCUUUACACUAGAAUCAAUGUCUUGCCCAAGGACACAACAACUGAGAUGGACACAGUGGGACCCUAUUAGAGAAUGCUGUUGCUAUAGUGACAGCUUCAUAGGUAUACCACCUGCAGCACUCAGUAGGGUUCAGCACCAAAGGGAUGCAAAAAACACCACUUUUGUUUUGAUCAAGCACGCCAAUACUCCCAGCCAUUUCUCUCCAGUUCAAUCAUACAACGGUAACUCCACAUUUACUCCAAGAACGCAGAGUAAUAUGAACAGCAGUCAAUAAUCCUAAUCCCUUUCCUCUUCCAAAGGUGUUGGAAGACCAAGCUUUCCCACCUUUGGUUACCAGAUGUGGUGUAAAAGUAAACAUCCAUGCUCUCUACCUAUGACCCAAAGUAUUGCCAAAAGGAAUACGUUCCUGUCUAUGAGAGUGACUUCUGACCCCUUGCUUUGUAUUGAACCCAACUAUAUCUAGCUGGUGUCAUGCUCAGACACAAACUGAAACUCUUUCCCUACCAGUAAAGUGACAUUUUAUGUUUGUGUAAUGCUUACAAAUAAAACCUGGUAAAACAUUUAUUGGUUAAUUACAAGUACUUAACUGCCAGCAUGACAGUGUGGUACUAGGCGAGAGGAACCAGCUGUAAUACAGAAAAAGGCAUUUCUUCUUAAAUCUGCUGUCCAUUAACUUUACUUAACUGGCCUUUGUUCUUCCUUCUUCCAUUUAAGAAAUAUAUAUUUAUUUAUAUUUAUACAUUCAUAUAGUUUACGAGUUAACUAAGAUUUGGCAAAUAAUUAGACCAACUAAGGUCUGAUCUAUCUGUCUGUUCACAUGUCACGGAAGUAGUUAAUCUGAGGUUAAUUUUUGUAUGUUUGCAGUCUAAUUGUUUUGUCAAAAGCUUUUUGAAAGUAACCUUCUUGGUGCAAAAUUAAAUGGCUCUACAUACAUGGCUCUCUGACAUAUUUGUAAUCUUUUAUUACUUCAAACAAAGAAAUUGGAGUGACUGUGGCUCAGAUGGUAGUAGUUCGUCCUGUAACCAGUGGGCUGCCAGUUCAAACCCCUGCUCUGUCUGUCUCAGUCGUUGUGUCCUUGGGCAAGACACUUCAUCCUCCUUGCCUGCUAAUAGUGGUCAGAGGGCUCGGUGGUGCCGAUUGUAUGGCAGCUUCAGUUCUGUCAGUGUGCCCCAGGGCAGCUUUGGCUACAAUGUAACUUACCACUGUCAGCGUGUGACUGUGUGGGUGAAUGACUGAUUGUAGUGUAAAGCGCUUUGGGGUCUCUGGGGCCUUGAUGAAGUCCCCAGACUUAAGUGCCCCUAAUUAAAUUAUAUUCAGUGAAACAGAUGCAAGUGCAAGCCAUUUACCAUUUACCAAAGUACACUGAGUAAAUUGUGCUUCAAUUAGGAUUUAAGCUUCUCAACUGUUCAGUUUUGUUUUUAAUGGGAAGUUAUAAAGCUUUAGAUACACCUUUAGCUGGGACAACCUGGAAUAUUUCAGCAGUCAGAUGUGGUUUAACACUGUGGUGUAACACUUAAAUAUAGAUGUUAAAUAUCUCUUUUAUGAAGAUAAACUGUAUUUUUUACCCAUAUGUUUGAGUAAUCUAUGUAAAAGUGUCAUGUGACAGGAAUGCUGGGACACAAUUAGUGUCUUGAAGUGUCAGGACUCAGGAUCAUUUGGUACAGGACAUAUCCUUUGUUCUUUGACUAGCCUCAAAUGUAAGGCAAGGUAAUCUAAAGACAUGAUCUUAGAUGAUUCAAAAAUGAUUCUGUUACUUUUGUUUUUUGAACUGUGUGAGAAAACAAUGCAAGUUAUGACAUCACUAACACUUUUGGAAUUAGAAUGUGGAAAUGGAACUUUUCUAAAUCCAGUCAAUCGUGAAACUCAGCUGAUUUCAACUAACGUCAAGCAAAUGUCAGCAACAAUAUUAACUGGGAGACUUCAUAUUGAGGAAAAAACAAUUAAUUUGUUGCGACAUAGAAUCAAAAAGCAACAAUGUGAAGCAAAGGAAAUAAGUUUGGAAACCAAAUAUCCAGUGAGGAACAAAAUGAGGACUGACCAUCUCUAUGUUUCAAAGCAGGCAACAUCUGAAGCAUCUUCUGAGGUCCAAGUUAGAUGUCAGUUGAAAAGAAAGAGAAACACUGGAGAGGAUCAUUUUAAAGAUGGGAACUGAGGCAUCUGGCUGUUCCUCGGAGGCAGGGGUUGAAGCGUCUGUCUGACCAUCAGCAAAAGGAGCAGCAGGAUCUUGCUAAUGUUCAGACCCAGGAGCUGAAGUAUCUGGUUGACCUUCAGCGGAAGGAG